rnacentral:rRNA from 1 species
GAUCAUGGCUCAGGAUGAACGCUAGCUACAGGCUUAACACAUGCAAGUCGAGGGGUAGCAGGGUAGCAAUACCGCUGACGACCGGCGCACGGGUGAGUAACACGUAUCCAACCUUCCCAUAACUCAGGGAUAGCCUUUCGAAAGAAAGAUUAAUACCUGAUAGUACUUUUUCAAGGCAUCUUGAGAAAGUUAAAGAUUUAUUGGUUAUGGAUGGGGAUGCGUUCCAUUAGAUAGUUGGUGAGGUAACGGCUCACCAAGUCUUCGAUGGAUAGGGGUUCUGAGAGGAAGGUCCCCCACAUUGGUACUGAGACACGGACCAAACUCCUACGGGAGGCAGCAGUGAGGAAUAUUGGUCAAUGGGCGAGAGCCUGAACCAGCCAAGUAGCGUGAAGGAUGAAGGUCCUAUGGAUUGUAAACUUCUUUUAUAGUAGAAUAAAGUGAUCCACGUGUGGAUUUUUGUAUGUAUACUAUGAAUAAGGAUCGGCUAACUCCGUGCCAGCAGCGGC